UGUCCCUGCCUCCUAAGCAGGCAGGAGGAGGGGGUGGCAUAAGGUCCAGCAAUGCCUGAGCACCAAAGCUCCUCAGGGCUGGACAGUGACCCCAGAACGCGUGCUUUCCAGAGCCGCAGAUGGGACCUUAGUCGCCAACAGGGUCCUUGCAGAUGCAAGCAUCUCAUUUAAUCAGAAUCAAUGAGAGCAGGCCCCACAUCAGUGGAGGGCAUCUUAACAAGAGUGGAGGGACACAAAACAGAGGGACCAGCAGGAAAGGAGACGGAGCUGCGGGUCGGGAGAGUCGUGGGGAGGCGAGGCUGGAGGGGUGCAGCCCAGGCAGCCAGCUGUGCCCCAGAGCAGGGAGCCCGCGGCAGCCCCCUCCUUCACCCCGGGCAGAAAUCAGUCAGUUCCACUCCACGUCACCCACGACGCUGGCAGCUGGCGGCACACAGGGCACCGGGUGAGGCUGAGGCAGCCAGAGCCGAAAAUGAAGCAGAGUGUCAGACCCAGCGAAAAUCUGGACCUGGACACCAGGAGGGCUUCGGAAACAGAAAGACUGUCGCUCACCAGGGGUACUAGAAAGCCUCUAAAUCCUUUCUGUUGUCCCUUAGAUACUGGGGAAUGCUAGUGUGACCUCUCCUGAGAAGCUCUCAGUCACAGAAAUCGAGAUUUGUCACUAAGUCGGGUCUGACAGCUCAUCACUCAAGAAUGCAGUCAUGUAAUUCCAGCACUCGGGAGAUGGAGGCAGGAGGGUCAUUGCAAGUUCGAGACCAACCUGGGCUACAAAGUGAGCUCAAGGCCAGCCUGAACUGCAGAGUGAGACACUACCUUGAAAAGACAAAAAGAAAAAGAAAAGAAAAAAAAAGAACACAGUCGUUCCUCACCGUGAAUCCCUGAGAGUGCACUGUUUGGUCCCUCUGAGCGAAUCACCUUCAUGGCUUGGUUCUUAGAUCACAGAAAAUGGGCCAUAAGGCCCAGGGAUGCUUUGGGAAGAUUCAGGAAACUGCACGCGCAGGGCGGCUGGGAGGACUUGGAGAGACGGACCCACCAUUGCCGGAUGAGCCCGACCCUGAGGACAGCUGUGCCAAGCCAAGGAAGCCAGUCUCAAAGGCACCAGUGCUGCACAACUGCUCAGGAAGAAGGUUCUAGAGGCUGCGGGUUCACAGAGACAGAAAGUAGGACAGAGGACUGGUGUCAGACAAUCUCUCCUGCUGGACAGGACUUAGUUUGGGGCCAUGAAAUGUCUCAAGGUUGGGGGGGGGCGGGGGCAGCCACACAACAAUGUGACCAAUCGGAGCCCGAGAAGAUACAUUGUAUCUUAUGCACAUUUUGCCACAAUUUGGAGAGGUUUUUCCCAGAAGCCACUUUCUUAUUUGCAAGAGGGACAGCUUCCAGAUUUGCACAAAGCUUCCAUCAGCCGCAGAGGGUAAAGCUCAUUGUCUGGAAGCCGGGACCACUGCGACCUGGAGUCUGCUGCUGUUUGUGGCUCCAUCCUUUGUCACCCUGUCACUGCUCCCUUCCGCCUCCCCAGCCGACGCCCCAGCGACUGAGGUCACAGCUGCAGCCCCGUCCACUGCUCUGGGUCUCCGGGCACAGCCCGUCCACCGACACCUGGCAAAGUCCCCGGCUAUUUUGCCAACAGGGCCAAGCCGAGGCGGGAGGGAUCCACCCAGAGCUCUGGAAGUUUCCACUUCUGCAUUUUUAAAAGGCGCUGAGCCUCCGCUGGAGCCAAGUAUGCCUCAGCCCUGCAUGUCCCCCAGCCCACAGGCCAGCAAGACUCUGUGCAUCCUGGCAUCAUCAGAAUCAGGUCCGUGGACGACCCUCCUGGAUGGGAUUUGCAGAGCUAAGCACCUCAAGCUCCUCUUCCUCUCAAUCUGAAGACCUGGAGCCCAACACAUGUGACUUACCUCGCACACAGUGGCAGGGCCUCAGAGGCCCCUCUCAGAGCGAGACAGGGGGAGCGUGCAUCUGUCCCCGCUCCCAAGAGAUGCUCAAGUCCAGCAGACAGGAGCACCAGUCCCAGGAUGAGGAGUCAGCUCUGCUCCUUACAGUGCGGUCUCCAGGGCCGCUGGUGCUGUCCUCCUUACAUUCUUGCUGUCCCAUAAGCCUGAGCGUUUGCUUUGCCCUGGGGGAGUUUUUCUGGUCCAGUUCCUCCCCCAGAGUAAUGGAGGGCACAGAAGUAUCUUUCCAUCUGUGCCUUUCAAAUCAAACUGGUACGAUUCCUUCAAAAACUUAGUGGGUUUCUUCAAUGGAGCAAUGAAUUCUUUGUAGACAAAAACCUCUCCCAAAAAUAUCAUGGCAAUAAACCCUUUCUGCUUUCACC